rnacentral:rRNA from 1 species
UCGGGAAUUUUGGGCAAUGGGCGAAAGCCUGACCCAGCAACGCCGCGUGAAGGAUGAAGUAUUUCGGUAUGUAAACUUCGAAAGAAUAGGAAGAAUAAAUGACGGUACUAUUUAUAAGGUCCGGCUAACUACGUGCUAGCAGCCGCGGUAAUACGUAGGGACCAAGCGUUGUUCGGAUUUACUGGGCGUAAAGGGCGCGUAGGCGGCAAUUCAAGUCAUCUGUGAAAUCUCCGGGCUUAACUCGGAACGGUCAGAUGAUACUGCUUUGCUAGAGUGCAGAAGGGGCAAUCGGAAUUCUUGGUGUAGCGGUGAAAUGCGUAGAUAUCAAGAGGAACACCUGAGGUGAAGACGGGUUGCUGGGCUGACACUGACGCUGAGGCGCGAAAGCCAGGGGAGCAAACGGGAUUAGAUACCCCGGUAGUCCCUGAGCGGGCUGGCAAGGCGCAU